UCACGGCAAGGUGGUCCCUCGGCGAGGCUCAGCAGCUCAGCUGGGAGGGGCCGACAGGCAGAGUCCAGGAAUGAGAUGCGCAGAAGGGAAGAGGAAGACGAAGGGCCAGGAGAGAGAGAGAGAGAGGGAGAGAGUCAGGCCGAAGGCCACCACAGUAGCUGACGAGGUGGGAGGUGGAGGAGAGCCGGGGGUCUGCUGGAUAAGCUGCACCUUCUUCAGCACAAUUAAAGAAAGGACAGGUGUUAUACCCAAGGACAACCAGGACAAGAGGCAGUGAGGGGGGCUACGGCAGACCACCGAAGGCACAGCAGAAUAGCAGCCACUUAAGUGGUGAGAAGACCCCCACAGUGAAGACAACUGACUCCGCCCCUUUAAAACCCACCGCUAUCAGAGAGAGAGGCAAGUCCCUUUUAAGUCGACUGAGCCCAAGGAUGAAAUUCUGAAUACCUUCGAGAACUGAAUGCGGUCUUAGGACGUCACUGUAGCUGUUGGAAGUUCUUCUGUUGCUUCUUCACUUGCAUCCGCCAUUUCCAGGAACCAGUCGACAUGGCAGAGAAUGAAAUUGAAGUUUACAGCACCCGCUUAGACCUGCCCAGUGAGAUCACCAGCCUUACCAACUUCACAUUCACUGCCUUCAGCACAUCCUCAUCCUCAGCAUUGGGACUCCCCUUAAUGUAAGUGCCGACACCCAACUGUUCACACCUCUUAACUCAACUGUCGAUGCCCACCUGUCGACGCCCCUUAACGUAAGUGCCAACACCCAAAUGCCAAUGUCACUUAACUCAACUGUCGAUGCCCACCUGUCGACGCCCCUUAACGUAAGUGCCAACACCCAACUGCCAAUGUCACUUAACUCAACUGUCGAUGCCCACCUGUCGACGCCCCUUAACGUAAGUGCCAACACCCAAAUGCAAAUGUCACUUAACUCAACUGUCGAUGCCCACCUGUCGACGCCCCUUAACGUAAGUGCCAACACCCAAAUGUCAAUGUCACUUAACUCAACUGUCGAUACCCACCUGUCGACGCCCCUUAACAUAAGUGCCAACACCCAACUGCCAAUGUCACUUAACUCAACUGUCGAUGCCCACCUGUUGACGUCCCUUAACGUAAGUGCCAACACCAAAUUGCCAAUGUCACUUAACUCAACUGUCGAUGCCCACCUGUCGACGUCCCUUAACGUAAGUGCCAACACCCAACUGCCAAUGCCUCCUAACCCUACUGUCGACACCCCUUGCCCCACCCUCUUGAUGCUGAUUGGUCAUUUGUUCACCUGCAGCACUGGCUGAUUCACGCAGGGUACUGAAAUGCAAUACGUCUGCUUUGCUCUUAGUUACGACCUGCGAUCCACGGACACAAAUUAAAAUGUGCUUUUUAUGCUGCAUUUUAUACCGACACGAAAAAUUAGUUGACGUGCUUUUAAUUCGGAUGCACUAAAACUACACCAAAAUAAGUGCAAAUAUAUUGCAUUGCAACAUAGUCACUGAUGCUAAAGAUGGCGCUGCCAGGCAAGAGGAGAAGAGGUUUGUGGAUGUGGCGAGAGGGGACAUGACAGUGGUGGGUGUGACAGAGCAAGAUGACGAGGACAGGAGGAUAUGGAACAAGAUGAUCUGCUGUGGUGACGCCGAACAGGAGCAGCUGAAAGAAGAAGAAGAAGAUUGUGAAGAAGGCAUAGCGUCCCCGAGAGCCAGCGCUGUGACAAUGGCAUUUCUCAAAUUGCUGUGCAGUCCCAGGAGUCACAUGGUGCUUCUCCUUCCUUCUCUAACCCUGUAGAGUUCAAUGUCACAGUCACAGAUAGCGGGUGCCUCUCCCGUUAGCACCGAGUGAAAAGCAUGAAACGGGAGGAUGAAGUUGACAAACACACAAAUGCGUGCAGACGCGCACUCAAUGCCCACACGGACAACGACCAGGCACACCAUUCCAACCCUUGGCGCCAGACGUGUGACGCGGCAGCAGCGGUGACUGCCACUUCAGCAGAGUCAUCGGUGCACAUGCGAACAGGACUCACGAGAAGGCCUUUCUGAACUGAAGACCCGCCUCUCCUCUUCAUUCAUUGGUCAGGAGUCCUGUCUUCAGUUCAACAGUUCCACCCACAAGUCUUUGGGUUUCCUGUUUACUUGCAUGCUGAUGAUUCCUGAAUGGACUAUUAGUCAAUAUUUUAGCACAAAGGUUUUCAUUAUGCACGUUUUGAGAUGGCGGCUGGAUGACGGACACGCGGAUUAUUCAACACGAGUAACGCGAGGUUUUUUCUUUUUUUCACAGUUUUUCCGAUUUCUUCGAAAUCUUAAACUUCUUUCUCUCCAUUUCAAAUGAAUGUGUGGGACUGAAAAUUGUUCUCGACCACCCAUACAAAGUACACGGGGUAUGGGACAUAUUAAAAAAAGGGUCAUUUCUGGAAGGAAUAUUCGUUGACGGGAAACCAGAAAUCAACACCAAAGUCAAAACCCAAAGCAAAACGUUCCCAGAAUCCUUUGAAAUGCUAACGGACGCCAAGUUCAUUUUGAGCGUAGACUCGUCGGCCAAGAGGUACCUGACAUAUCGGCCAGCGGCGCGGCGAUCGCCUCCCAGGAACAGCGAGAGGACUUCAACACCGUGCUGCCCAAAAUGGGGCUGUGCUAAAAAAAUGAAGAGAACGAUAAAAUAAACGAAAACAGCCGAAAUCUGUUCGAGGAGAGUAAAACUGGUCAACCACCAAAAUCAAUUUAACACGUUAAAAAAGAAAAAUAUAGCGUUGUGUUGGGAAAGCAAGAAGAUUGUAAAAGGACAAGCCAGGAGAUCGAUAAACAGAGAAACAACGAAACGAAAGAGCAGGACGAGAAGAGGAAAGCGAAAGUCGGGACAAACCCAAGGAAUCACAUCAGAAAUCAAAGAACAGACACGCGACACGCUUAGCAAAGGUUUCUCAAUCGCCGCUCGCGUAAAGACACGGCCAAGGGGGCGCCUAUUUAAACCCACUGCUGCAAAUAUCGGUGGGUGACAAACGAUGGGAAAGGUCACUGCCAGAAGAAAUAAAUUCAAAAAUAUAACAUACAUGCGCUGCAUAUAUAUAUAUAUAUAUAUAUAGAGAGAGAGAGAGAGAGAGACACUAGCCGUCCCCCGCAGCAUCGCCAACGUUGUACUGAAACACGACAGCGAGGAGGACCCUGCCCGGCCCCCCACUCCUGAAGGCCCACAGCCUCGGAUUAGCGUGAAUAUGUCACUCCCAUAAGUGAACUGAAAAUCAACCGGAAUGUUGAAGCAAAUUAUAGAGAAAAAAAAAAAACCCGAUCUAAAUCCGUCAAGUAAAAGCAAACAGACAUGGGAUUUUAUUAUAUAGAGAGAGAUCUGCGCACACACACACACACACACGGGCUUGUCAAGUCUCUGUCAUGGACUUUUACAAAGAGGGUGUAAAUAGCAGUAGGACAUUUAUUUACUAAGCAUCUGCUCUCCUCUUUAGUGCGACAUCAUUUCCUUCAUAAGCCCCGCCUUUUCCUGUUUGAUGGGAUAAGAGAGCCUGUGACAGAGUGACCAGCUGUCAUUUGACAACAAGAGGCUAUCGAGAGGAAAACUCCUGCAUUUUCUUUUGAGAGCCACGAGAGGGCGCCAAACCCUCUUUUUUUUGAUUCAAUGGCCUGAUUUUUCAGUGACACUCGUUUAGUUUUUCUUUAAUUAUGCAAUGCUGCACAUUAAACUGGGCAUUCCUGGCAGGACCCCCAAC